UACGUAGGUGGCAAGCGUUGUCCGGAUUUACUGGGCGUAAAGGGCGUGCAGGCGGUCUGUUAAGUUCAGGGUGAAAGCUCCCGGCUCAACUGGGAGAGGUCCUUGGAUACUGGCAGACUUGAGGAGGGUAGAGGAGAGUGGAAUUCCCGGUGUAGUGGUGAUAUGCGUAGAUAUCGGGAGGAACACCAGUGGCGAAGGCGGCUCACUGGUCCGGUACUGACGCUGAGACGCGAAAGCGUGGGGAGCGAACAGG
rnacentral:rRNA from 1 species